UUUUCUUUUCCUAAUUUCCUCUAUUCAGCAAACCCAUCCAAAUUUCUUAUCCCUAACAACUCUAAAUCUUUAAUAAAUUAACUUUGUCUUCUUCACUCCAACACCCACCAGCCACCACCAUCAUCGUUCAUCACUCCAAUCACCAUCGGUCCUCCACACAGCCACUGACCACUGUCGCUUCCCUCUUAACUCUUUUUCCC
rnacentral:lncRNA from 1 species